rnacentral:lncRNA from 11 species
GUUUCAAUGAAUUUGUUCUAGUUGGGAUUAAAGAAGCUCAAUGCUAAGGAAUACUGGGAUUCGUAGUUUGAAGAGGCAUCACACUCUUCUUGGGCAGAGAAGACUAAAGAUGUGAUGUCGAAAGCUUUCAUGGCUGGAAUCACUGGGUUGCUAAGAAGGAAGGAAGUCAGGAGUGAAGCAGUUAAAGGAACCGAAGAGUGGCUUGUUUACUAAACCGUCUGAAGCUGACAGCCCUCCUGGCUAGGCUUCCAUGAGCUGGCUCUCUCUUUCUUUCUUUCUCUCUCUC